rnacentral:pre_miRNA from 10 species
GGUCCCUGCCCUCUAGAAGCUCACAGUCUAGUUGCGUUCAUGUGCAAGCCGUUCACCCCCAGCUAGAUUGUAAGCUCCUUGAGGGCAGUUACC